GGAAAUGCCUCCACGAGAUCCAACUGUAAGGCAUUUUCUCAAUUAGUGGUCAAGGGGGAAAGGCCCCUUGUGAGUGGUGCCAUCUCUGGUCUGGUAGUCUUG
rnacentral:miRNA from 1 species